rnacentral:rRNA from 1 species
UGGGGAAUAUUGGACAAUGGGGGGAACCCUGAUCCAGCCAUGCCGCGUGUGUGAAGAAGGCCUUAUGGUUGUAAAGCACUUUAAGCGAGGAGGAGGGUACUGGUAUUAAUACUACCAGGUACUGGACGUUACUCGCAGAAUAAGCACCGGCUAACUCUGUGCCAGCAGCCGCGGUAAUACAGAGGGUGCGAGCGUUAAUCGGAAUUACUGGGCGUAAAGCGCGCGUAGGUGGUUCGUUAAGUUGAAUGUGAAAGCCCCGGGCUCAACCUGGGAACUGCAUCCAAAACUGGCGAGCUAGAGUAGGGCCGAGGGUGGUGGAAUUUCCUGUGUAGCGGUGAAAUGCGUAGAUAUAGGAAGGAAAACCAGUGGCGAAGGCGACCACCUGGGCUCAUACUGACACUGAGGUGCGAAAGCGUGGGGAGCAAACAGG